GUGCUCACUUUGGCAGUACAUAAACUGGAACAAGACAGAGAGGAUUAGCAUGGCCUCUGCACAAGGACAACACAAGAAUUCAGGAAACGUUCCCUUCAGAC
ensembl:snRNA Gm26359 predicted gene, 26359